GACAGAAAGAACAAAAAAAAAAUGGAAGGAACUGCCUGCUCCAGCUAACAAAGCAGGAAUUAAAUCCAUGCUGGGUUAUUCCCCCACCCUCCAUGCAGCCUGAGGAUGCUGAUUUGGCCAGUGCCAGCUGCUCUGCAUUGAACAUCUCAUCAUUGCAGGAUGGACAGAGCGGUGAAGGACCUGGAGAUUAGAAGGUGACCUCAGGAUAAUGAAAAAUGAAUGCAUGUGUAUGCUGGCUAGAUGGACUUGAUUCUGAUGUUAUAAACAUUGUCAAGGAGGUGUAAAAAUGGUGGAAACACACUUCUGAAGAUGGCUCAUCAGGAUUUCUGCCUUUGUUGGGACAAAAUCCUGCAGAUUCACGAGCAGGGAUCCUACAGAUCUCACCUAAAAGAGUGAAAUCUCCA